UAGGGAAUCUUCCGCAAUGGACGAAAGUCUGACGGAGUAACGCCGCGUGAGUGAAGAAGGAUUUCGGUUCGUAAAACUCUGUUGUUAGGGAAGAAAAAAUGUAUAGUAACUAUAUACAAAAGAGACGGUACCUAACCAGAAAGCCACGGCUAACUACGUGCCAGCAGCCGCGGUAAUACGUAGGUCCCGAGCGUUGUCCGGAUUUAUUGGGCGUAAAGCGAGCGCAGGCGGUUAGAAAAGUCUGAAGUGAAAGGCAGUGGCUCAACCAUUGUAGGCUUUGGAAACUGUUUAACUUGAGUGCAGAAGGGGAGAGUGGAAUUCCAUGUGUAGCGGUGAAAUGCGUAGAUAUAUGGAGGAACACCGGUGGCGAAAACGGCUCUCUGGUCUGUAACUGACGCUGAGGCUCGAAAGCGUGGGGAGCGAACAG
rnacentral:rRNA from 1 species